rnacentral:lncRNA from 1 species
GACAGUGACCCCAGGGGUGGUGACAAUGACCCCAGGGGUGGUGACAGUGACCCCAGGGAUGGUGACAGUGACCCCAGGGGUGGUGACAAUGACCCAGGAUUGAUGACAAUGACCAUGGGAUGGUGACAGUGACCCCAGGGAUGGUGACAAUGACCCCAGGGAUGGUGACAAUGACCAUGGGAUGGUGACAAUGACCCCAGGGAUGGUGACAAUGACCCUGAGAUUGAUGACAAUGACCCCAGGGAUGGUGACAGUGACCCCAGGGAUGGUGACAGUGACCAUGGGAUGGUGACAGUGACCCCAGGGGCGGUGACAAUGACCAUGGGGUGGUGACAAUGACCAUGGGGUGGUGACAAUGACCCAGGAUUGAUGACAAUGACCAUGGGAUGGUGACAAUGACCAUGGGAUGGUGACAAUGACCAUGGGAUGGUGACAGUGACCCCAGGGGCGGUGACAGGUGACAGUGCCCGGUGUCCCCGCAGUCCCUGGACCUGCACCGGCCCAUCGACAAGCGCGUCUACAAGGGCACCCAGCCCACCUGCCACGACUUCAACCAGUUCACGGCGGGCGCCGAGACCCUGGCGCUGCUGGUCGGCUUCUCGGCCGGGCAGGUGCAGUACCUGGACCUGGCCAAGAAGGACAGCGCCGGGCGGCUCUUCAACGAGGAGGUGAGGGGACAUUGGGGGCCACCAGGG